AACCUGGUUGAUCCUGCCAGUAGUCAUACGCUUGUCUUAAAGAUUAAGCCAUGCAUGUCUAAGUAUAAAUAGUAUACAGUGAAACUGCGAAUGGCUCAUUAAAACAGUUAUAGUUUAUUUGAUAGUUGAAUGCUACAUGGAUAACCGUGGUAAUUCUAGAGCUAAUACAUGCUUAAAAACCUGACUUCUUGAAAGGUUGUAUUUAUUAGAUUACAAACCAAUAUUCCUUCGGGUCUAUUGUGAUGAUUCAUAAUAACUGAUCGGAGCGAACGCAGUUCGCUAAAUCAUUCAAGUUUCUGCCCUAUCAGCUUUCGAAGGUAGUGUAUUGGACUACCUUGGCAGUCACGGGUAACGGGGAAUUAGGGUUCGAUUCCGGAGAGGGAGCCUGAGAAACGGCUACCACUUCUAAGGAAGGCAGCAGGCGCGUAAAUUACCCAAUCCUGACUCAGGGAGGUAGUGACAAUAAAUAACCAUGCCGGGCCUUUACAAGUCUGGCAAUUGGAAUGAGAACAAUUUAAAUCCCUUAUCGAGAUAUCAAUAGGAAGGCCAGAUCUGGUGCCCACCACCCCCCGGUAAUUCCCAGCCCCCAAUA
rnacentral:rRNA from 1 species